rnacentral:rRNA from 1 species
AGUGAACGCUGGCGGUAGGCCUAACACAUGCAAGUCGAACGGCAGCACAGUAAGAGCUUGCUCUUACGGGUGGCGAGUGGCGGACGGGUGAGGAAUACAUCGGAAUCUACUUUUUCGUGGGGGAUAACGUAGGGAAACUUACGCUAAUACCGCAUACGACCUACGGGUGAAAGCAGGGGAUCUUCGGCCCUUGCGCGAUUGAAUGAGCCGAUGUCGGAUUAGCUAGUUGGCGGGGUAAAGGCCCACCAAGGCGACGAUCCGUAGCUGGUCUGAGAGGAUGAUCAGCCACACUGGAACUGAGACACGGUCCAGACUCCUACGGGAGGCAGCAGUGGGGAAUAUUGGACAAUGGGCGCAAGCCUGAUCCAGCCAUACCGCGUGGGUGAAGAAGGCCUUCGGGUUGUAAAGCCCUUUUGUUGGGAAAGAAAAGCAGCUGGUUAAUACCCCGCUGUUCUGACGGUACCCAAAGAAUAAGCACCGGCUAACUUCGUG